rnacentral:rRNA from 1 species
GAUGAACGCUGGCGGCGUGCCUAAUACAUGCAAGUCGAGCGAACAGAUAAGGAGCUUGCUCCUUUGACGUUAGCGGCGGACGGGUGAGUAACACGUGGGUAACCUAUCUAUAAGACUGGAAUAACUCCGGGAAACCGGGGCUAAUGCCGGAUAACAUGUUGAACCGCAUGGUUCUACAGUGAAAGGCGGCUUUGCUGUCACUUAUAGAUGGACCCGCGCCGUAUUAGCUAGUUGGUGAGGUAACGGCUCACCAAGGCAACGAUACGUAGCCGACCUGAGAGGGUGAUCGGCCACACUGGAACUGAGACACGGUCCAGACUCCUACGGGAGGCAGCAGUAGGGAAUCUUCCGCAAUGGGCGAAAGCCUGACGGAGCAACGCCGCGUGGGUGAUGAAGGUCUUCGGAUCGUAAAACUCUGUUAUUAGGGAAGAACAAAUGCGUAAGUAACUGUGCGCGUCUUGACGGUACCUAAUCAGAAAGCCACGGCUAACUACGUG